rnacentral:tRNA from 1 species
GCGACCGUAGCUCAAUCGGAUUAGAGCACUUGACUACGGAUCAAGAGGUUAGGGGUUCGAGACCCUUCGGUCGUG